rnacentral:tRNA from 1 species
UACUAUCUAUAGACUUUAUCUAUUUAACAGGAUCCUAAAUCCAGCACAUAUUAUCUGCCAAAAUAGU